CGGAAUCCUGAAAAGGAUAACUGCGGAAAUUCUGGAGCUAAUACAUGCGACUAUACUCCAACGCAAGGCGGGGUGCAAUUAUUAGAACAGACCAAACGUUUUCGGACGUUGUUUGUUGACUCUGAAUACCGCGUUUACUGUCAGUUUCGACUGACUCUAUCCGAGAAGGGUGUCUGCCCUUUCAACUAGAUGGUAAUCUAUUGGACUACCAUGGUUGUUACGGGUAACGGAGAAUUAGGGUUCGACUCCGGAGAGGGAGCCUUAGAAACGGCUACCACGUCCAAGGAAGGCAGCAGGCGCGAAACUUAUCCACUGUUGAGUAUGAGAUAGUGACUAAAAAUAUAAAGACUCAUCCUUUUGGAUGAGUUAUUUCAAUGAGUUGAAUAUAAAUUAUUCUUCGAGUAGCAAGGAGAGGGCAAGUCUGGUGCCAGCAGCCGCGGUAAUUCCAGCUCUCCUAGUGUAUCUCGUUAUUGCUGCGGUUAAAAAGCUCGUAGUUGGAUCUAGGUUACGUGCCGCAGUUCGCAAUUUGCGUUAACUGUGGUCGUGACUUCUAAUUUGCUGGUUUGAGGUUGGGUUCGCCCUUCAACUGCCAGCAGGUUUACCUUGAAUAAAUCAGAGUGCUCAAUACAGGCGCUUGCUUGAAUAGCUCAUCAUGGAAUAAUGAAACAGGACUUCGGUUCUUUUUGUUGGUUCUAGAAUUGAUCUAAUGGUUAAGAGGGACAAACCGGGGGCAUUCGUAUCAUUACGCGAGAGGUGAAAUUCGUGGACCGUAGUGAGACGCCCAAUAGCGAAAGCAUUUGCCAAGAAUGUCUUCAUUAAUCAAGAACGAAAGUCAGAGGUUCGAAGGCGAUUAGAUACCGCCCUAGUUCUGACCGUAAACGAUGCCAUCUCGCGAUUCGGAGGGUUCAUGCCCUACCGAGGAGCUACCCGGAAACGAAAGUCUUUCGGUUCCGGGGGUAGUAUGGUUGCAAAGCUGAAACUUAAAGAAAUUGACGGAAGGCACCACAAGGCGUGGAGUUUGCGGCUUAAUUGGACUCACACGGGAAAACUCACCCGGUCCCGA
rnacentral:ncRNA from 1 species